rnacentral:rRNA from 1 species
UCAGAUUGAACGCUGGCGGCAUGCCUUACACAUGCAAGUCGGACGGCAGCACGGGAGCAAUCUGGUGGCGAGUGGCGAACGGGUGAGUAAUACAUCGGAACGUGUCCUGGAGUGGGGGAUAGCCCGGCGAAAGCCGGAUUAAUACCGCAUACGCUCUGAGGAGGAAAGCGGGGGAUCUUUCGGGACCUCGCGCUCAAGGGGCGGCCGAUGGCAGAUUAGCUAGUUGGUGGGGUAAAGGCCUACCAAGGCGACGAUCUGUAGCUGGUCUGAGAGGACGACCAGCCACACUGGGACUGAGACACGGCCCAGACUCCUACGGGAGGCAGCAGUGGGGAAUUUUGGACAAUGGGCGCAAGCCUGAUCCAGCAAUGCCGCGUGUGUGAAGAAGGCCUUCGGGUUGUAAAGCACUUUUGUCCGGAAAGAAAACCUGUGGGCGAAUACCCUGGGGGGAUGACGGUACCGGAAGAAUAAGCACCGGCUAACUACGUGCCAGCAGCCGCGGUAAUACGUAGGGUGCAAGCGUUAAUCGGAAUUACUGGGCGUAAAGCGUGCGCAGGCGGUCCGUUAAGACAGAUGUGAAAUCCCCGGGCUUAACCUGGGAACUGCAUUUGUGACUGGCGGACUCGAGUAUGGCAGGGGGGGGUAGAAUUCCACGUGUAGCAGUGAAAUG